UCAUAACCAGGUUCGUCCAUUGCUAUUAUGUUUCCUUGGGGUAGUGCAUUUGUAGUGCAUGACUCUUAAAAAUACUUAACACCAAUUAUAGUUGGCUCCACUUUAAAACCUUUAAUCAGUGGUCCAAUAUGCGGUUCUGUAUGUUUGUAUUUGUUAUUAUUUUUAUUUAUUUAUAUAUUUUGCAUGCAGAUUCUUCCUUUGAUACAGA
rnacentral:misc_RNA from 1 species